CCUACGGGUGGCAGCAGUGGGGAAUAUUGCACAAUGGGGGAAACCCUGAUGCAGCGACGCCGCGUGAGUGAAGCAGUAUCUCGGUACGUAAAGCUCUAUCAGCAGGAAAGAAAAUGACGGUACCUGACUCAGAAGCCCCGGCUACCUACGUGCCAGCAGCCGCGGUCAUACGUAGGGGGCAAGCGUUAUCCGGAUUUAAUGGGUGUAAAGGGAGCGUAGACGGCGCUGCAAGUACGAAGUGAAAGCCCCUGGCUUAACCAUGGUACUGCUCUGGAAACUGUAGAGCUUGAGUGCGGGAGGGGCAGGCAGAAUUCCUGGUGUAGCGGUGAAAUGCGUAGAGAGUAGGAGGAAUACCGGCGGCGAAGGCGGCCUGCUGGACCGUAACUGACGCUGAGGCUCGAAAGCGUGGGGAGCAAACAGGAUUAGAUACCCCAGUAGUC
rnacentral:rRNA from 1 species